rnacentral:rRNA from 1 species
UACGUAGGGGGCAAGCGUUAUCCGGAAUCACUGGGUGUAAAGGGAGCGUAGACGGCUGUGCAAGCCUGAAGUGAAAGGCGGGGGCCCAACCCCUGGACUGCUUUGGGAACUGUACGGCUGGAGUGUCGGAGAGGCAGGCGGAAUUCCUAGUGUAGCGGUGAAAUGCGUAGAUAUUAGGAGGAACACCAGUGGCGAAGGCGGCCUGCUGGACGAUGACUGACGUUGAGGCUCGAAAGCGUGGGGAGCAAACAGG